UUGUCUCUUAUGGUUGACCUAUUACUCUCCCACGCGCACUCCCCGCGCGUGUUCUCAAUCCACCGCUUCCUUUCCCUUUCCCUUCCCCCUCAACUCUUGUCUCUGUCACUCUUCUGGGCUUCUCCCGUUCUCUCCAAAAGAGACAAGAGAGAAAGUUCUGAAAGUUGGGGAUUUGAAUUCAAACAUAUAAAACAAGAAUGGUGCUGUGUCUGCAAAUCUGAGAAGAUGAUUGUUCAAGACCACCGUCCCAUGCUUCACUUUAUCAAUUUCAACACAUCUCCCACAAGAUGCAAGGAACCAGUUACAAGAACCUGAAAAUUAGAAACCUCGUAAACUUCCUUAUUACUCGAUCAUGCAUCUAAGCUCGUUGCUAGAGAAGGGUCCGUUUCGGAUGACUUUCCAAGUGUUCGUGGAAUGGUUUUUAAGUACUUACAAAGUCGUUCUAAACAUGUAUGAAAUUUUCGAUCUA